rnacentral:rRNA from 1 species
ACGUAGGUGGCAAGCGUUAUCCGGAAUUACUGGGCGUAAAGGGCGUGUAGGCGGGAAGACAAGUCGGGAGUGAAAUCCCAGGGCUUAACCCUGGAGCUGCUUCCGAAACUGUCUUUCUUGAGUGUCGGAGAGGAAAGUGGAAUUCCCAGUGGGGCGGUGUAAGGCGUAGAGCUUGGGAGGAGCAGCAGAGGCGAGGGGAACUAUCAGGACGAAAUCCGACGGUGGGGCGCGAAAUCGUGGGAAGAUGUGGG